rnacentral:lncRNA from 1 species
GGGGAGUGUAAUUAUUCCUGACUGAGUCUUACAGUAAUCUGACUAACUGAUCGGUUUCCAAGGGUCACAAAUACGAACGGUGAGAGUAAACUACAAACGGAAGUGUUAGAAGAUGAAAGCACAGCAUCCUGUGCUAAGAGUUUCUAAGAACUCUCUUUACUAAAGCCAGUAAUUUUAAAAAUGCUUCCUUAAAUCAUGACCAUAGAUAAUGAAGACCAAAAUCCUUGUCUACUCAGUGAUGCUCAGAACUGGUAAACAUGUGGGCCUGCUGGAGCCACCUGCUCUAGACCACUCUUCUGCCUUCACUCUCCCCCACAGCACUUGAGAGGUACAGCUUCACAUGAGAGGCACAGACUCCUAAAAACAAUGAGGACACAUACUUACUUAUAAACUUUUAGAAAACAGAUAUAACAAAUGAUAGAAUUUUCUGCCACUUAAUUCUGAUUGAAAAGUGCGGAGGGCUUUCCAAUUCAAAUGGUUUAAAGGAGCUUUAUGAUACCCACUUUUGACUUAAUCAGGGUAUAGUUCCUCUUCAGAAUCUGCAUUUCCUGUUUAGAUUAAUUGUCGGAGAUCUCUUUGGAAAAACUAAAAACUCAACAGAAAUGUUUUCCUGGGCCAAGGCUUUGACAGUACAGACAUUUUACAUGAGGACUGAUGAUAUGACCCAGACUUAACCCUCUGAAGUAAUGCAGUGAGGUAACCAGGACAGAGGAGGUCUUGCUCAGGACUUGAGUCUCUAAUACAGCUCUGGUCACACUACUGGGGACAACUGGGUACUACACGGCAUUGAGAUACAGAAGCGAAAGCAGAUUCCAGACUCAUCACUUCAUUACAAAACUAUCCCUACUCAU